rnacentral:rRNA from 1 species
UGGGGAAUAUUGCACAAUGGGCGGAAGCCUGAUGCAGCGACGCCGCGUGGGGGAUGAAGGCCUUCGGGUUGUAAACUCCUUUCGACAGGGACGAAGCUUUUGUGACGGUACCUGUAUAAGAAGCACCGGCUAACUCCGUCCCAGCACCCCCGGCAAUACGUAGGGUGCGAGCGUUGUCAGGAAUUACUGGGCGUAAAGAGCUCGUAGGUGGUUUGUCGAGUCGUAUGUGAAAUUCCGGGGCUUAACUCCGGGCGUGCAGGCGAUACGGGCUGACUUGAGGGCUGUAGGGGAGACUGGAAUUCCUGGUGUAGCGGUGAAAUGCGCAGAUAUCAGGAGGAACACCGAUGGCGAAGGCAGGUCUCUGGGCAGUAACUGACGCUGAGGAGCGAAAGCAUGGGUAGCGAACAGG